AAGUCGUAACAAGGUCUCCGUAGGUGAACCUGCGGAGGGAUCAUUAACACUUUUAAACAAAAACAACAAAAACAACCCGGUAACCAAAAAAAAAAACUACUUUAAGCGUUUUGUUUUGUUUUUCUUAUCGCUCUAUUUUCUCUUGAGGAAAUAAAAUGAUAAUAAAACAAAAACAAAAAACAACACACGCUUUGAAGUAUUUCUUUUUUACUCUUUUUUUAUUCACACCUAGUGUAAAUAACGAAAAGUAGUAUAAAGAAUAAAUCGUUAUACUAUUUAUGUAUCAUGUAUGUUUCUUCAUUCAACUUGAUUAAACAUUCAAACCUAAAUAAACUAUUGUACAACUCUUAACAAUGGAUAUCUAGGCUCUC
rnacentral:misc_RNA from 1 species